rnacentral:rRNA from 1 species
UGGGGAAUAUUGCACAAUGGGCGAAAGCCUGAUGCAGCAACGCCGCGUGGGUGAUGACGGUCUUCGGAUUGUAAAGCCCUGUCUUUGGGGACGAUAAUGACGGUACCCAAGGAGGAAGCCACGGCUAACUACGUGCCAGCAGCCGCGGUAAUACGUAGGUGGCAAGCGUUGUCCGGAUUUACUGGGCGUAAAGGGAGCGUAGGCGGAUCUUUAAGUCAGAUGUGAAAUACCCGAGCUUAACUUGGGUGCUGCAUUUGAAACUGGAGAUCUAGAGUGUCGGAGAGGAGAAUGGAAUUCCUAGUGUAGCGGUGAAAUGCGUAGAGAUUAGGAAGAACACCAGUGGCGAAGGCGAUUCUCUGGACGAUAACUGACGCUGAGGCUCGAAAGCGUGGGGAGCAAACA